AUGUACAUGCCUACAAUGUUAAUGUAGUGAAUCCCAUUAGAACUCUGCAGUUAAGCACGCUUGGGAUAGAGUAGUAUUGGGAUGGGUGACCUCCCAGGAAGUCCUAGUGUUUUACAUG
rnacentral:rRNA from 1 species